rnacentral:rRNA from 1 species
CGUUUCUUGGAAAUUUAUUUGAAAUAUAACCUGCCCCCUGAAUUAUUAAAGGGCCGCAGUAAAAUGACUGUGCAAAGGUAGCAUAAUAAUUAGUCUUUUAAUUAAGGACUGGUAUGAAUGGUUGGACGAGAUAUAAACUGUUUUAUUUUAAUUUGUAUUGAAUUUAAUUAUUAGGUUAUAAAGCUUAAAUAAGAUUAUGGGACGAUAAGACCCUAUAGAGUUUUAUAAAUGUUAUUAGUAUUGAAGUUGGAAGAUUAAUGUAUUAUUAUUAUUUAUUUUAUUGGGGUGAUAAAAAGAAUGAUUAAACUCUUUAAAGUUAUUAUAUAUUAAUGUAUAAAUUUAUGAUCCAUUUUAUGAUUAUAAGAACAAAUUACCUUAGGGAUAACAGCGUAAUACUUUUAAGGAGUUCAUAUCUAUAAAGGAGAUUACGA